rnacentral:rRNA from 1 species
AGUUCUCCGCCUGGGGAGUACGGCCGCAAGGUUAAAACUCAAAGAAAUUGACGGGGGCCCGCACAAGCGGUGGAGCAUGUGGUUUAAUUCGAUGCAACGCGAAAAACCUUACCUACCCUUGACAUCCUCGGAACUUGUCAGAGAUGAUUUGGUGCCUUCGGGAACCGAGUGACAGGUGCUGCAUGGCUGUCGUCAGCUCGUGUCGUGAGAUGUUGGGUUAAGUCCCGUAACGAGCGCAACCCUCGUCCUUAGUUGCCAGCGAGUCAAGUCGGGAACUCUAAGGAGACUGCCGGUGAUAAACCGGAGGAAGGUGGGGAUGAUGUCAAGUCAUCAUGGCCCUUACGGGUAGGGCUACACACGUGCUACAAUGGGCAGUACAAAGGGUUGCCAAGCCGCGAGGUGGAGCUAAUCCCAGAAAACUGCUCGUAGUCCGGAUUGGAGUCUGCAACUCGACUCCAUGAAGUUGGAAUCGCUAGUAAUCGCGAAUCAGCAUGUCGCGGUGAAUACGUUCUCGGGCCUUGUACACACCGCC